rnacentral:misc_RNA from 1 species
AAGUCGUAACAAGGUCUCCGUAGGUGAACCUGCGGAGGGAUCAUUAACACGUAUUAACGUAUCAACCAACUGUGAACUUAUAGUAACAUUAUGUAACAAUUUAUUGUUCUCUUGUUAUAUCUCUACCUAACUCAGAUUGUAUUGUUAGUUAUAACUAUUGUGGAAGGUUACGCUUGCGUAACUAGUUAUAGCUAGAGAGUGUUUAAUCACUCAAAUCUUUCUGUAUUAGGCAUUUACCCUAUAGCACUUUCACACUAGCAAAACCCUUUUCACCCUUCUUAUAAAUUGUACGACUGAAAAAUAUUGUUGUAUAUGUAAUGUAUACAUAAAUAUUGAUAUUCACAACUAAAAGCACAACUCUUAGCAACGGAUAUCUUGGUUUUC